rnacentral:rRNA from 1 species
UACGUAGGGCGCGAGCGUUGUCCGGAAUUAUUGGGCGUAAAGGGCUUGUAGGCGGUUUGUCGCGUCUGCCGUGAAAUUCCCUGGCUUAACUGGGGGCGUGCGGUGGGUACGGGCAGGCUUGAGUGCGGUAGGGGAGACUGGAAUUCCUGGUGUAGCGGUGGAAUGCGCAGAUAUCAGGAGGAACACCGGUGGCGAAGGCGGGUCUCUGGGCCGUUACUGACGCUGAGGAGCGAAAGCAUGGGGAGCGAACAGGAUUAGAUACCCUGGUAGUCCAUGCUGUAAACGUUGGGCACUAGGUGUGGGGGCCGUCCUUGGUUUCUGCGCCGUAGCUAACGCUUUAAGUGCCCCGCCUGGGGAGUACGGCCGCAAGGCUAAA